AGUAAUGUCUGGGAAACUGCCUGAUGGAGGGGGAUAACUACUGGAAACGGUAGCUAAUACCGCAUAACGUCGCAAGACCAAAGAGGGGGACCUUCGGGCCUCAUGCCAUCAGAUGUGCCCAGAUGGGAUUAGCUAGUAGGUGGGGUAACGGCUCACCUAGGCGACGAUCCCUAGCUGGUCUGAGAGGAUGGCCAGCCACACUGGAACUGAGACACGGUCCAG
rnacentral:rRNA from 1 species